rnacentral:rRNA from 1 species
UGAUGUGUACGUGAAUCAUCGAAUCUUUGAACGCAAGUUGCGCUCUCAUUUGCGUGGGAGCAUGCCUCUUUCAGUAUCUGUUCCACUCUCACUCGCAGUGCGCUGCGGAGAAUGAGGCGCGUGUGUGUUUCGCGAGGAUCACACAGCCUUGAAGUGUCCAGUGGAGCUUGUUCUGUUUUCCUUAAGGAGAAACAGCUCGCACUGAGAAAGCGACGUGGGUAAUCUACCUAUUAAACGUUUUGCUUUCGUUUGCAGGUUCGAGGUCUCGUUUUCAUGACGAGACGAUAAGCGUACGGUGCUGUCUCGACAGAGUCACAACACCAACCCAAACAAAAAAGAUCUGAAUGAGGUAAGAGGACCCGCUGAAUUUAAGCAUAUCAAUAAGCGGAGG